CACCAAAACCAUCUAAUGAGUGAGGAAGCACUUCCUCUGGCUUCUGACCAAUUUGACUCACUUCUGUAUGCUCCUCUAUCUGGUUCUUCUCAUACUGUUCUGACAUCAGGUCUACAGCACCAGAACCAGAAGAUAUAAAAGCAUCUUCACCGUCAAGUGCUUUCAGAGAAUUCUUACUGUUUAUGAAAUCAUCUUGCUGAAACGAAUUGCGGUAAAUGACAAUGAGCACAAGAAAUUCAAAUUUGGUAAUUUGUAGGUUUCAUUGGUUCUCACUCAUGACUCACCGUGAAUUUGGUUAAGUUAGUCUUUCUGGAAUUGUAGGCUUGACUCUUCUCAGCCAGAAUAGAAGGCAUGCUAGAGGUGCAAAAUUGGAUGCUUUGAUUGCUACUAAUCUGCAGCACAAUGUAAACAUCAAAAUUAAAAAUAGCUGCAAAGGAUCAACUGAAAAACUUAUUUUUAAAGAUAUGUAUGUAACUAUGAUCACAUGUGUGUUUAUGUAUGCUACUAAGUACUCCGUGCUUUCCACUGAAGAAAAGUGAAAAACAAAAAUAAGAGAGAUAGAAAGCAUAACUACUUGAGGGUUAAAAGAUGGCAUAGCCACUUCCCUUUCCUUGCUUCCAUAAGAAAAAAGAGUGAUAUUUAUGACUAUAAGAUCAGAAACAUAAAUAAGGGGGCAGAAACAGAUAGGGAUUUGAGAAUAAGACAAUAAGAAAAGUUGUUAAAAGAAAAGUGAUAUGUCAUUGUUGAUACAGUUAUGUGCUUCCUUUGAAUACCAUUUUAAGAAUACUUCAGUACUAUUUUUUUUAUCACUAUUACUUAAAUUGUGUGUUAAACUUCCCAGUUUGGUUGUAAUGUCUAGUACUAUCAGAACUCAUUCAAGCUUAAUACUUCUAUCAAAAGUCUAUACUCUAUAUAGCUUAUGAAAGUGACAGAAAUAGGAAAAACAAGGUGAGUUUCGAUGCAACCAUCUAUGAAAAUAAGACAAAGAUAAAAGGGUACAAGAAUGAUUAAUUGCAAAAAUUUAAAGAACUUCACUUGACUCACGUGGCUAGAUGAUGUAGGACCUGUGUAGUUUCUGAGUGGGAGUGGAAACAAGGAUGUUGAUCCUGGUGCAAAAUUUUGAGAAGGGAUGCUGAAUUGUUCAUAGAGUGCCAUUUUAUUCCUUGGGGGUGCUUUUGGCCCUCGUUUCUCUGCAUCCUUAACAUGCAACCUUGGAAACAUUGGGCUAAUCUCCUUGCCCUCUUCAAUUCCCCCUCUCGUCCUAUUCAUCAUUCUACACACUAACCACUCGCAACAACUUCAUCAUAUCUCUGCCAAUUUCACAAUACAUAUACUUUUCAUUCCUCUCAUACAAAAUUGCUAGCCGAGUAUGUGUUUUUCAGUUGCAAAACCACUUCAGAAGUACCAGAAACUCAAAUCCAUAUAACAGAAACAAGUUCUGUUCGAAAAUUUAGCCAGUAUAAGAAUUCCAAUUCAACCCUAUCAAAACAAUUAUGGGUCAAAUCCACAAGCAAUUCAUGGUGCAUUAACUCAUACAAAAAAAAAAAAAGAUUAACCAGCUUCAAAGAAACAGUUUUUCUGAUCGCACAUUACUAAAAAGGAGGAGGAAAACAUCAUAAAUGAGAGCAAAAAUAAAAAAAAUAAAAACGCAAAUUCACGUGUACCCAGUUGUUAAAAAUUGAACUUUUUUAGCUGAAAAUCAAAUCAUAGCGACCAAACAACAACAAACUUGGAAAAGCACAAGAACCCAAAUGAAGAUUACUUAAA